rnacentral:rRNA from 1 species
UACGUAGGGGGCAAGCGUUGUCCGGAUUUAUUGGGCGUAAAGAGCGUGUAGGCGGCCAUACAGGUCAGCUGUGAAAAACUCGAGGCUCAACCUCGAGACGUCGGUUGAAACCGUAUGGCUAGAGUCCGGAAGAGGAGAGUGGAAUUCCCGGUGUAGCGGUGAAAUGCGCAGAUAUCGGGAAGAACACCUAUGGCGAAGGCAGCUCCCUGGGACGGUACUGACGCUGAGACGCGAAAAGCGUGGGGGAGCGAACAGG